rnacentral:rRNA from 1 species
UACGGAGGGUGCAAGCGUUAUCCGGAUUCACUGGGUUUAAAGGGUGCGUAGGCGGAUUGGUAAGUCAGUGGUGAAAUCUCCAAGCUUAACUUGGAAACUGCCGUUGAUACUAUCAUUCUUGAAUAUCGUGGAGGUAAGCGGAAUAUGUCAUGUAGCGGUGAAAUGCUUAGAUAUGACAUAGAACACCGAUUGCGAAGGCAGCUUGCUACACGAUCAUUGACACUGAGGCACGAAAGCGUGGGGAUCAAACAGG